rnacentral:misc_RNA from 1 species
GAUGAAGAACGCAGCGAAAUGCGAUAAGUAAUGUGAAUUGCAGAAUUCAGUGAAUCAUCGAAUCUUUGAACGCACAUUGCGCCCGCCAGUAUUCUGGCGGGCAUGCCUGUUCGAGCGUCAUUACAACCCUCAGGCCCCCGGGCCUGGCGUUGGGGAUCGGCGGAAGCCCCCUGUGGGCACACGCCGUCCCUCAAAUACAGUGGCGGUCCCGCCGCAGCUUCCAUUGCGUAGUAGCUAACACCUCGCAACUGGAGAGCGGCGCGGCCAUGCCGUAAAACACCCAACUUCUGAGUGUUGACCUCGAAUCAGGUAGGAAUACCCGCUGAACUUAAGCAUAUCAAUAAGCGGAGGA